rnacentral:rRNA from 1 species
UUUAUGGAGAGUUUGAUCCUGGCUCAGGACGAACGCUGGCGGCGUGCUUAACACAUGCAAGUCGAACGGUGAUGUCAGAGCUUGCUCUGGCGGAUCAGUGGCGAACGGGUGAGUAACACGUGAGUAACCUGCCCCCGACUCUGGGAUAACUGCUAGAAAUGGUAGCUAAUACCGGAUAUGACGAUUGGCCGCAUGGUCUGGUCGUGGAAAGAAUUUCGGUUGGGGAUGGACUCGCGGCCUAUCAGGUUGUUGGUGAGGUAAUGGCUCACCAAGCCUACGACGGGUAGCCGGCCUGAGAGGGUGACCGGCCACACUGGGACUGAGACACGGCCCAGACUCCU